AAUUUCCUAAUUCAUCUUUUUCUAUAUGCACUAUCGUUGCUGAGUCGAUAGAUUAGAAAACUACAUAUGAUAUUUUGAGAUAUUUGCGUGCAUCAUUCAGCUGGAAUUAGGAAAGCCUCGUCUGGCAUUACAGGUCCAAGGGAGCAGAGCGAGCGCAUUCCUGGGUCCUUUCUUCUGGUGCAGGAGGGUGAGAUCCAGCUCCUGAAGACCUGGACGUGUCUGCGGGCAGUCCUGAUGGGUGCAGCUGCAGGGGGAUAGCAAGUGUGUGAUGGGGUUUGCAGUGCCAAUGGCUGUGUACCAUUAGGGUUUAAACCUUUUGUAUAUGCCAAUCUCUGGUAUUUGCUUACUCUAAAUGUAUCAGUCAUAAUAACUUCAAGCAUUUGCAGGUUUGGGGGCAGCAUUUUUUUCGUCGUUUCUCUGUGUGCACGUCAGUCACGUUAGCAGUGUUUUUCAGAAGGCUGAACAGCAGCUGUUCUUGCUCUUUUUCCGAAACUGGAGCAAACUGCGCUAAUUUGCGGUGAUCUGAAUGUUGCUUUUUUAAGAAAACAAACAAACAACAAAACCCCGAGAAGAAGGACUUAGCUGUUCAGAUGAUUGCAUAGCAGCAUAACUGAAGGACUUGCACUGGAUGGGAUGGACACCGCUUUGCUGGGUGGAGUGGCUGAAGACAGCAGGUGCUGGUGUUGAGAGCAGGAUGGCAGCAGUUCUGUCCCCAUGGUGUUCAUGGUGUUAAUCCCAGCGAUAACCAGGAAAGCCCCAGCACUUCCUAUUCCUCUCUCAGAGCAAAAGGGCAGGUCAAGGGGGCACCCACCUGAGGUUGUCACUCUUUUUGUUUGUUUUGUUUUGUUUCUGAACAGGAGAAAACCACUCCUCCUGGAAGCACUGAGAAUAUUGUGGAAGAGAUUGAGCAAGCGGUUCAGGAGACGGUAGACACAGAUCUGUAUGUGAGAAGAAGACAGCACCCAACUGCUUCCAGGAGAUACCGUGAGGGCUACCGGCCUGAAAGAGCCGUUCAGCCUGAGACCGAUACUACUUAGAGCAGUAGCUGCUCCAGCUUCCACAGUGUGUGGCGGCAGCUUGCAGAACUAGUGUCAUCGCAGCCUUCCCGGAGGAGAUCUGGAGUGAACCAAGGGGUUUGGUGGGGUGGGAUGGGAUCAGGGGAUCUUUAGGGGCAUACCUGGGUGAGGGGAACGCUUGAUGUUGCAGGUCUGUUGUGGCUAAGGCAAGAAGCUUUCCCUGUGUUGAGGCCAGGCCAGGUACAUUUGCUGUUUCUUGAGAAUAAGUACCCCAUCUUGUUUGUACAGCUGCAGUCUUCAUCUAACCAGACAUCCACUGGCUGAAGACAAACUGCUUCACAGCAAGCCCUUCCCUGCUCCUCUCAGCAGCCAUAGCUUCCCACCAAGCUGGUGGCCCUGGUCAGCACCACACGGCACUGAGAGAAAAGGCAAUGCCUAAAAAGAGAAGGCAGCACCUCAAGAAACAGCAACCUGUCUGACCUGGCCAGCCUCCCUGAGCACAUCAGCGCAGUAGCUGCCUGUCUCAGGCCACGCAGAAUCCAGAGCUGUCCCACGACCUGAGGACUGCUGGCAUUUACAGCUGGCAGGUGCCUGGCUUGACCCUUCUGACUCAGGGGAGACAGGGUUUGUAGAAACACCAGUGGAACCAGGGGGCUGGACGUGCAUCCCACUAUCGAGGGCCAGCCCAACGCUGUCACCUGUGGCUUCAGCUCAUGUCAGUGAAUUGAGAGCAAAACCAGAGAGUCCUGGGGCUGAGCACUGGUGCACAUCCUUCUUUAGAGCUUUUUUCCCCUGUUCAGUGGCUUUUCAGAGCCUGCUUGCACAUGACAGCACCUGGAAGCCAGAGGAGUUGGAUGUGGCUGGUGACACUGGGAGGCAGUGGCAGAAGAGGCUCAGAGGAGGAGAAGAGCCAGUACAGCUGGUAGAAAUGUGCAGGGCUGCCGAUUCAUCCCAUCUAGCCUGCUAACCCCUGCUCAACCCCGUCGCGUGGCUUUUUCAGUCCCGUUUUUUGCGAUGUAAGGGCUGUCCCCUAAGCACUCCAGCUUCGUCAGCCUGGAUCUGCAGUGUCUGGGAUCCUCGGGCUUUUUGUCUUUGUGCCGUGACCUGAAGGAGGGAGGAGACACUCCUCCAGGAUAGACUUGGAGGCAGUAGUCUCUGCUUUGACCUCUAGAUCUCCUUGGCUUUUCUAGGCUGAGUUGCAAGUCCUGGGGAGAGCCUUACCCUUAGCACAGGUGGGUGGGAGGUGAGAAACCCCCACCACGGCUGGGCUGGCACACUGCCAGUGAAACAUCCCUGCUGCUGGGCUGGCAGAAAGGUGCACAAAGGAGCAGUUUCUAACUGCUCCACUCCCACCAUCCUUUCACUAGGACACGUGCCAGUGAGACCCCAUGGGAAGCACAGCAUCCACUAAUGUAGCCUGCUGAGAAAAGAAAAACAAAACAACUCUCAGCAGAUCUCUCAAUUCAUGACCUUUAUAGGCAGCAACUGGGGAAGGAAGAAAGUUGAAGUGGAUGAAUAGUAAGCAUUUCCUCAGGAUUUCAUCUAAAGUGGAUGCAGGUGAGAAGCAUAAAGAUGCUGAAAAUAGCCUUCAGGCAGACAAUAACCGCUCACCCUCGAGAGGUGCCAGGACAGGAGCUCCUGGAGGGCGGGGGGGGGGGUCAGCAGGAAGGAUGGGUAAGGGCCACGCUCUUACGUAGGGCAGCAGAUCCCCCUGGAGGGACAGCAUCCCCCAGAACCAGGCUGAUGGGCUUGGGAGCAUCACCUGGGUCCCCUGGGACAGGAUCAGUCAUGCUUUUUUAUUCAUUGUGUUCUCUCGUGCCAGCGCCAGCGGCUGUCAGGGUCAUCCCCUGUGUGUGGUGCUGUCCUUCUGGGCAGGAUACCGGUGGUGUCCAAAGCCACCCACCACCCCUCUGCAGAAGAGGAAGGGGAGAGGGGGAGGCUGCAGCUCAUCUAACACUGCCCCUGCCAUCUCCCCAGGCCCUUACAUCUGACCCUAGGGGUGGGGAGCACCUCCUGGCUGGGUGCCGUAAAACCCUACCUGAUGGGUACAUCCCCGUCCAUGCAGCAGUAAAUGCCUGGUGUCUUUCAGCCUGCAAGGGACAGGUCAGCAGCUCCAAAAGCACUUUGUUAGAGGCAGCAGGAAGGUCUCCAGGUUCGGGAGGGCAGCAUGUGUUAGACUUGCUUUGCAGCCGCAGCCUUAGAGGCAGUGCUCGCUAGUUGAGAAGUAUCACCGCAACGUAGAGUAGCGAUAAAAAUGGAAAGGUCCUGUUAACUGCAGGGUGGGAGCUCAGAGACGUCUCUGUCAUGACAGCAGAGCACAUAUGUGGGGAGUGCUGCUCCCUGCGCAGGCUCGGACCACGCCAGGUCCUUUGCCCACACCGCCCAGGGAUGUCAGUGCCUGCGCAGACACAUGCUGGUGACGGCUGCGGGUGCUGGCUGGGGCACAGCCCAGGAUCUCACCAGCAGCAUGGGUGCAGGCAGAGCCUGGCAGGCAGCACGACAGCGUUGGCCAAGGGGCUUUUGGUACAGCCCGGCUCUGCGAGGCUGAGUAAUGCUUCUGGGAUGCUGGGACAGCUGCCAAGUCGGCCUGCAGCAAUGGGUGCAUGUGUCUGCGUGUGCAGCAGAGUCAGUUUGUUCGCUGUACAAACCAUUUGGAGUAAAACUAAUAAACACUGAGCUCUCCAGGCCUGCA